GGCAAGGAAUAUGAAGAGUUUAUGGGUUUGGACAUGGUUUUUUCGAUGAGAAGGCUGUAGGCACUAAUAUUUUCAGACAACGUUGGUCCAAGGUUUAUUGGGGAUCAUAGACUCAACACUUUCAAGCGCCUGCUGAGUUGUUGAGGGAAGAGAGAAUCUACUACUAAUACUGACGUGGAUUUGCAGGG